rnacentral:rRNA from 1 species
GCUCAGAACUUAAGGAAUGACGGGGCCGCACAGCGGUGAGCAUGUGGUUUAAUCGAUGAUACGCGAGGAACCUUACCUGGGCUCAAAAUGUAUGUUUGACGUAUUCUGAAAAGGGAUACUUCUUCGGACAAUAUACAAGGUGCUGCAUGGUUGUCGUCAGCUCGUGCCGUGAGGUGUCGGGUUAAGUCCCAUAACGAGCGCAACCCCUAUCAUUAGUUGCCAUCAGGUCAAGCUGGGGACUCUAAUGAAACUGCCUACGCAAGUAGUGAGGAAGGUGGGGAUGACGUCAAAUCAGCACGGCCCUUACGUCCAGGGCUACACACGUGCUACAAUGGCCGGUACAAAGGGCAGCUACCUGGUGACAGGAUGCUAAUCUCAAAAGCCGGUCUCAGUUCGGAUCGGAGUCUGCAACCCGACUCCGUGAAGUUGGAUUCGCUAGUAAUCGCGCAUCAGCCAUGGCGCGGUGAAUACGUUCCCGGGCCUU